rnacentral:rRNA from 1 species
GGAACCUUCCACGGUUUCUGCGACGCAGCUUACGCAUUAAGUGCCCCGCCUGGGGAGUACGAUCGCAAGAUUAAAACUCAAAGGAAUUGACGGGGCCCCGCACAAGCAGCGGAGCAUGCGGCUUAAUUCGACGCAACGCGAAGAACCUUACCAAGGCUUGACAUAUAGGGAAAAGUGGCAGAGAUGUCAUGUCCGCAAGGGCCCUAUACAGGUGGUGCAUGGUUGUCGUCAGCUCGUGUCGUGAGAUGUUGGGUUAAGUCCCGCAACGAGCGCAACCCUCGUUCUGUGUUGCCAGCAUUUAGUUGGGGACUCACAGGAGACUGCCGGGGUUAACUCGGAGGAAGGUGGGGAUGACGUCAAAUCAUCAUGCCCCUUAUGUCUUGGGCUGCACGCAUGCUACAAUGGCCGGUACAGAGGGCUGCAAUACCGUAAGGUGGAGCGAAGCCCAAAAAGCCGGUCUCAGUUCGGAUUGAGGUCUGCAACUCGACCUCAUGAAGUUGGAGUUGCUAGUAAUCGUAGAUCAGCAACGCUACGGUGAAUACGUUCCCGGGGCUUGUACACACCGCCCGUCACGUCACGAAAGUCGGUAACACC